AAGGUUGUAAAACACAUUAUCACAACAAUCUGCUUAAUGUGACGGAUGGUUAAGCCAAAUGACAACAUAUAACCCAAGCAUGUUGUUAUCUAUUCAACUUCAGUGACAUUGUAACAAAAUAUAUUGUUGAUAAGGAUGUAAUUGGACAAGCAAGCGUUAGAAUGGCAUGCUUAAGUAUUUAAUAUCAUAUUUGAAUCAUCUUUAACUCCGAAAGCAAGUGAAAUAGUUCUUGAAAUCUGAUAAAAACAUGACAAGCCUGCAAAAAUUCUAUUCCAAAAAUGAAAGAAACUGAUCCAAAAUAAGCACAAUUAUCAUCAGAAAAUUCCUGGCACAAAUCUGCAAUUAUCCAAAAUAAUUGUACUAGCCUCGACCAUGUUGAAUUCUCAGGUCAUCCAGGUGAGAUUUUCCCCUAAGCUCACGAGCAAACCGGCUCCUAAAGUAUUCUUCAACUGUCACUCUUCGAAACAAUGCAGGAGUUUUUUCAGAUAUCAAACUGGAUGCUGGAUAUAUUUCNNN
rnacentral:lncRNA from 1 species